GCCUGCUCCGAGGAAGAAAAAAAUUUCUGCCCUGCACAGCCUUAGCCCUUACGCCUUCCGUCUUCUUCGAGUGUAACUACAAUUUUCAGAUUAGCCCCAUAUGGCACAUAGACUUACUCUCAACUCUAUCACUCCAAAAUCGCUAGAUUGGAUAUGCAUAAUACAAGUUAUCCACCCAGAGACACCAAAGAUAAGGCCAAGAAGUAUCAACUGCUUCUCUUACAGGAUGAAGAGGAAAAUCAAAUUCAGGCAACCAUAUGGAACACUGAUAUAACACAUUAUGCAAAACAUUUUAAGCCGUUCCAAACAUACCUGCUGUCAGUAGCACGUUAAAGAAUCGACUUACAGAUGUUCUUGCACUACUGAUUAACGCCGCCCCUCCAAGUUACGCAGCCAAUGUAAAGAGAAUACAAGAAUCUAUCAUCAUGGACACUUUGUAAGUCCAUACUUUCAAGUUUAUUCAUCUGUGAUAAGUACAUACUUAUCUUUGUUUUAGGCAAAUGAAAGUGCUUUAUCAAUGUUCCGUGAAAAACUAAUGCAACAAUGUUUGCUAAUUCAUAAUCUAAGGAUCUGCAGUAUUGUUAAGGUAGGAAAGUGCUGGAAUUUUGCCAUUUCAAAAACUAUAUUCUUAAAUUCAAAUGGUUUUUCUUCACCAU